UUUUUGAUUUUACAUAUUUUCAAAACACUUUUGAUGAGUAUCUGACUAUAUGUUACAUGACAAUUGGUAUGUUUAUCUUUUUGGGUUUAGUGAUUGCAUACAAUAGUGAACACAAAUAGUUUGUGAUAAAAAAAGAAAAAAAAUCUUACCAAAAAAGAAACAAACAAAUUAAGAAAAAGCUCAACUCCUUGAUGUAGUUUUUUUUUUUUUUUUUUUUUAUAAACCCUAUCGGCUGAUCCGGUCAGCCCCGGUAGAAACGCAGUGAAGUGCUUCAGAGUGGACUUCUCCCCGAAGGGCCACCACACUGUCUAUCCCGAGUUUGGAAUGCUUUCCGACUAAUGCCAGGGGGUAGUCAGGCCGCCUGCAUUUCUGACUACCAGGUAAACCAACUGGGCCUUGGCCCAAUUGACAGACUUCCCACACAACCAUGAUUUUUGUUUCCAGGGUGGAUCGAACCUGGGUUAGUUCUUUCCAAGCUUUCCCCAAUUCUCCCUUACCACUGGACCACGGCUGUG
rnacentral:lncRNA from 1 species